CCGGCGACCGGCGCACGGGUGAGUAACACGUAUGCAACCUGCCCUCUUCAGGGGGACAACCUUCCGAAAGGGAGGCUAAUCCCGCGUAUAUCGGUUUCGGGCAUCCGAGAUCGAGGAAAGAUUCAUCGGAAGAGGAUGGGCAUGCGGCGCAUUAGCUAGACGGCGGGGUAACGGCCCACCGUGGCGACGAUGCGUAGGGGUUCUGAGAGGAAGGUCCCCACACUGGUACUGAGACACGGACCAGACUCCUACGGGAGGCAGCAG
rnacentral:rRNA from 1 species